CCUGACGACGCCUCCUGCAGUGCCGCGCUCAAUGGGGUUGACCAAUAAGCGUUAGGUAUUCCUCUCCUAGCAACAGGUCGACCAUUCAUCAACACGAAUGCCGUAACGCGUUUUUCCGGUAUGGGAAUCCAGCUUGCGGCGUCUAGACGAACAAGGAGCAAGAUUUGAAAGGGUGUCCUGUAAACAUUCAUGGAAGGACCCCCAGUCUCUGUGCCGCAGAGAAAGACUUGUUUGCAAGCAGCUCAGUGUGACAAAGAACAACUUUAAUGACUAUGGAGUAUCUGUGUAACUACAAAAAACACAAGGGUCGAGAGUUCUUCUUGGUGAAGUGGAAGAGCUACACAGAGUCAGAAAACAUGG
ensembl:lncRNA